rnacentral:rRNA from 1 species
CCCGAGCUGGUAGUAGGUGAGUGAUGGGGUGACGCAGGAAGGUAGUCCAUCCCGGGCGGUGGUUGUCCCGGGGUAAGGGUGUAGGACGUCAGGUAGGUAAAUCCGCCUGGCACAUAGUCUGAGACCUGAUGCCGAGCCGAUUGUGGUGAAGUGGAUGAUCCUAUGCUGUCGAGAAAAGCCUCUAGCGAGUUUCAUGGCGGCCCGUACCCUAAACCGACUCAGGUGGUCAGGUAGAGAAUACCGAGGCGUUCGGGUGAACUAUGGUUAAGGAACUCGGCAAAAUGCCCCCGUAACUUCGGGAGAAGGGGGGCCAUGUCUGGUGAUGAGUCUUGCACUCUGAGCUGGGUGUGGCCGCAGAGACCAGCGAGAAGCGACUGUUUACUAAAAACACAGGUCCGUGCGAAGCCGUAAGGCGAUGUAUACGGACUGACGCCUGCCCGGUGCUGGAACGUUAAGGGGACCGGUUAGUCACAUUUCGGUGUGGCGAAGCUGAGAACUUAAGCGCCAGUAAACGGCGGUGGUAACUAUAACCAUCCUAAGGUAGCGAAAUUCCUUGUCGGGUAAGUUCCGACCUGCACGAAUGGCGUAACGACUUCUCGACUGUCUCAACCAUAGGCCCGGUGAAAUUGCAUUACGAGUAAAGAUGCUCGUUUCGCGCAGCAGGACGGAAAGACCCCGGGACCUUUACUACAGUUUGAUAUUGGUGUUCGGUUCGGCUUGUGUAGGAUAGGUGGGAGACUGUGAAGCAUGCACGCCAGUGUGUGUGGAGUCGUCGUUGAAAUACCACUCUGGUCGUGCUGGAUGUCUAACCUGGGUCCGUGAUCCGGAUCAGGGACAGUGUCUGAUGGGUAGUUUAACUGGGGCGGUUGCCUCCUAAAGAGUAACGGAGGCGCCCAAAGGUUCCCUCAGCCUGGUUGGUAAUCAGGUGUUGAGUGUAAGUGCACAAGGGAGCUUGACUGUGAGACCGACGGGUCGAGCAGGGACGAAAGUCGGGACUAGUGAUCCGGCGGUGGCUUGUGGAAGCGCCGUCGCUCAACGGAUAAAAGGUACCCCGGGGAUAACAGGCUGAUCUUCCCCAAGAGUCCAUAUCGACGGGAUGGUUUGGCACCUCGAUGUCGGCUCGUCGCAUCCUGGGGCUGGAGUCGGUCCCAAGGGUUGGGCUGUUCGCCCAUUAAAGCGGUACGCGAGCUGGGUUUAGAACGUCGUGAGACAGUUCGGUCCCUAUCCGCUGUGCGCGUAGGAAUAUUGAGAAGGGCUGUCCCUAGUACGAGAGGACCGGGACGGACGAACCUCUGGUGUGCCAGUUGUUCUGCCAAGGGCAUGGCUGGUUGGCUACGUUCGGGAGGGAUAACCGCUGAAAGCAUCUAAGCGGGAAGCCUGCUUCGAGAUGAGUAUUCCCACCUCCUUGAGAGGGUAAGGCUCCCAGUAGACGACUGGGUUGAUAGGCCGGAUAUGGAAGCCCUGUAAGGGGUGGAGUUGACCGGUACUAAUAGGCCGAGGGCUUGUCCUCAGUUG